GACGAACGCUGGCGGCGUGCCUAAUACAUGCAAGUAGAACGCUGAAGGAGGAGCUUGCUUCUCUGGAUGAGUUGCGAACGGGUGAGUAACGCGUAGGUAACCUGCCUGGUAGCGGGGGAUAACUAUUGGAAACGAUAGCUAAUACCGCAUAAUAGUAGAUGUUGCAUGACAUUUGCCUAAAAGGUGCAAUUGCAUCACUACCAGAUGGACCUGCGUUGUAUUAGCUAGUUGGUGGGGUAACGGCUCACCAAGGCGACGAUACAUAGCCGACCUGAGAGGGGGGGCGGCACCCUUGGGAGGGAGACCGGCCCAAGAGCCACAGGGGAGACGGCGAGAGGGAUACGGGGGAAAGGGGGGGAGGUCGUAGCGGCAAGGGCGGGGGGGAGAAGGAGGGUUUUGGGAUGGUAAAGACCUGUUGUAGGAAAGAAACGAGUGUGGGGGUGAAAAGUCCCCACGGUGACGGUAUCUAACAAAAAAGGGCCGGCUAACUACGUG
rnacentral:rRNA from 1 species